rnacentral:tRNA from 1 species
UGAAUCUAUAAUAAACUAUUUUAAAUUAGUUUUGAAAACUAAUUUGGAUUUAUUUCGUAGUUUUAA